GAAAUAAAAUGCUUUAAAUAAAAACUUCUAAUUUUUAAUUUUAAUGGUUAAAUUCCAUUUUUAUUUCU
rnacentral:tRNA from 1 species